UGAUAUAUAUUUUAAAUGUGUGAAAGUUACCGAAUCAAAAUUUGAUGGGCAUUCGAAAGAAAACUCAUUACAGAAUUCAAAAUGAAUUAAUUAAGGAACGUUCGAAAACAGUCUCAAACUGAAAAUGCCGCUUACAUCUCUAGCAAACCACAAAACACUUGAAUUACAAUUUGCAAUUAUGACGUUAGCAAAUUCGGCUCGUAGACUGCUUUUAGUACUUUCUAGAGGGGCGGGUACGAGUGCGGGUGCGGGUUCGGGAACUGCUUUGGGGCAUUCUAACUCUUAUCAAGUGGAUGCUGGCUGCAGUAUCCAAGGCCAAAAUUGUGCAGCACUUCCGGCUCGUUAACUUUGAUGUAGGUGCAGGAGCAAAACGGAUGCGGAUGCGGGUCUAUGUAUUCGCACUUGGCCAAGUGGCAAGCAUUUGUGGCAGCCACUGACAAUGCUCCAUUAGCAUGCAACAUAUUUUAAUUAGCCAAAUAAAUUGUAAAUGUCCGUUGAGCGAAAUAAGCUGAGAGACUGGCCCUAUACGCGUGUGUGUGUGUGUGUUGAAAACUGGUGCCAGUGUUGCAAAAUGCUCCAGAGAAAACUCGAAUCUGAACGCUGUACUGCUGCUUUGAGCCUUGGGCCCGGCUAGUUAAAGUUUAAGUACCUUUUUGCUAGCCAAGAUUUAUUGUGAGCAGACCAAAAAA